rnacentral:rRNA from 1 species
UACAGAGGGUGCGAGCGUUGUCCGGAAUCAUUGGGCGUAAAGGGCGCGUAGGUGGCCCGGUCAGUCUUUGGUGAAAGCGCGGGGCUCAACCCUGCGUCGGCCAGGGAUACUGCCGCGGCUCGAGCACUGUAGAGGCGUGUGGAAUUCCGGGUGUAGUGGUGAAAUGCGUAGAGAUCCGGAGGAACACCAGUGGCGAAGGCGACACGCUGGGCCGUACCUGACACUGAGGCGCGAUAGCAUGGGGAGCAAACAGG